AAAAUGAUGACCAAGGAGAAGGAAGUUGAGGAUGAAGAAAAGCUAAUAGUGAAGAGGAAGAGAAAUAAAAUUCUUCUAGUGAUGGAGAAGCUGACAACUUAGAAUCCUUAAGUGAAGAAGAACAAUCAAGCUCUAAAGAUUGAUGCCAUCAAACUGAAGAUGUUUUGAAGUUGCUUUUUUUUGCCUUUUGUUCUUAGGCUUAUUUUUGUGGUUUUAUAAUAAAUUUGAC
rnacentral:lncRNA from 1 species